rnacentral:rRNA from 1 species
GCCCAAAGACGGCAGGCUACACAUGCAGUCGAACGGUAGCACAGAGAGCUUGCUCUCGGGUGACGAGUGGCGGACGGGUGAGUAAUGUCUGGGAAACUGCCCGAUGGAGGGGGAUAACUACUGGAAACGGUAGCUAAUACCGCAUAACGUCGCAAGACCAAAGUGGGGGACCUUCGGGCCUCACACCAUCGGAUGUGCCCAGAUGGGAUUAGCUAGUAGGUGGGGUAAUGGCUCACCUAGGCGACGAUCCCUAGCUGGUCUGAGAGGAUGACCAGCCACACUGGAACUGAGACACGGUCCAGACUCCUACGGGAGGCAGCAGUGGGGAAUAUUGCACAAUGGGCGCAAGCCUGAUGCAGCCAUGCCGCGUGUAUGAAGAAGGCCUUCGGGUUGUAAAGUACUUUCAGCGGGGAGGAAGGCGGUGAAGUUAAUAGCUUCACCGAUUGACGUUACCCGCAGAAGAAGCACCGGCUAACUCCGUGCCAGCAGCCGCGGUAAUACGGAGGGUGCAAGCGUUAAUCGGAAUUACUGGGCGUAAAGCGCACGCAGGCGGUCUGUCAAGUCGGAUGUGAAAUCCCCGGGCUUAACCUGGGAACUGCAUUCGAAACUGGCAGGCUGGAGUCUUGUAGAGGGGGGUAGAAUUCCAGGUGUAGCGGUGAAAUGCGUAGAGAUCUGGAGGAAUACCGGUGGCGAAGGCGGCCCCCUGGACAAAGACUGACGCUCAGGUGCGAAAGCGUGGGGAGCAAACAG